UUGUUUCAGGCUUUGGAAGGAGGGGUCAGUCCCCUAUGUGGCUGUUUGAGAAGCAAAAGUCUUCUGCAGCUGACAAACCCAAUGGCCCACAGGUCCACAUACACUGUCAAUACAGUCCUGCCCCAUGCGUGUACCCUGACCCCCUGAAGUAGACCCAGUUGCCCCGCUGCAGAGGCCCCCACACACUCCACCAAUGCACCAUACACUCCACCGGCUCCUUAUGCAGGCCCUGCCUUGCAGAGGUGGACCCACUCACCUGUCUGCAAAGGUUCCAGGCACCUUGCCUAUGUGGACCCACUAGCUGCUCAAGGGCUUACUGUUGGGUGGGGCCAGUCCCUAGGGAAGGCUGCCUGCCCUGGCUGAGCUGGAUUAAAUUGGUGCUCUAGUGAGUAGGGCAGAUCCUGGGCUAAUAGGCCAGAGGAAGAACUCCAAAGGCAUCUGCCAGUGUCUAUGUCAGCAUGCUUGGACUAGGUCACAACAGUGGCUGCCGCCAAUGUUUCAGUCCCUGGAGAGGUCUCACCUCUCACCGAGAUGCAACCAUAGCCUAUCAGCAGAUGCUAUCAGUGCCCCCAUGGCCCACCCUGGUGGUUUCCAACAUGCUGAUGGAUUCCUGUGACUUUCAGCCUGAGGGCGGAUGCGGAGUGGAGUCCACACCCCCUCUUCCCUCCCAUACAGCAGCGAGGGAUGGUGGGUCAUCAAGCAGCAGAUGCCAUUACCAACCACCUGGAAUGGACGAGGCCUCACCACAAGAGCAGACCUAUGACCUUUGCUUUAUUUUUAAUGCGAAGAUCUCUCCAGGAGAGCUUAGGCCUUAUUGCCAUUACCUGCAGUGCGUGUGGAAGCACGAUUUCAAACUGAACUUGUGCAAGAGGAUUCCCACCUCUCCCUUUGGAAUACUCAUUCCCCAUCCCAAAUAAAAGGUCCCUGCUUCCCAUGGUUCGGGGACGCCAUGACUCCGGAGAGGAUUCCCCUGGGUCUCCUCUUUGCUGCAAACAUACUUCACUUUGUGGGACAGCUGCUUCUGGUGGGGAGUCUGAUGUGACUCGCCAGGAGGGGACCUGCUGCGGUUUCAGUAACAUAGAUGCUUGUAGGUUGUCUCCUCGCACAAGAAUCUGAGUGCCGUGGAAGCAGGGACCUUGUGUAGUCCCCGCUGUCUCGCAGAACAGCACCGCACAGGGGAGGUGCCGGUCGUCAUUUCUGAGUGGGUGAAUGCGUGGAUGGCUGCUGGCUGGGGGAGCUGGGCUGGAGAACGGCUGGAGGUGAGGUUUCAGUGCUGUUGUUUCAGGGCAGAUGUCUGUGCUUCUCGGCACAAGCAAGCUGCUGCUGCCUCCUGAGUGUCCACAGCUGUGCUGGGCCACCUUGCACCCUCAAAAACACUACCUCAGUUCAAGUGAGUUUCGGGGCCCAAGUUUCUAGGAAAGUCACAGUCCCUCUCAGAGAGGGCUCAGUCCUGCUCUAGCAAGAGGCCUACUGGGGCUGAUGAUGUGUGACAUGUUCCCCUCCACCGAAAGGAAGUCAUCGAGGGCAGAGCAGCGAUCAUCGAUGCUGUCACUGGACAACACUGGCUGCCUGGUUAGAACCACAUGUGCCCCGACCUCAGGGACACCAGCUUCCUGCUGGACAGCUCCUGCUGUCAAAACGUGAAGGACAACAGAGCUUUUUUCUACCUGACGUUCUUGGUUUAAUGGUAAUGGAAGCACACGUCUUGUCCGGUGCCUGGUGUUGAACGAGCGUGCCACUUUAAAUUUCUCCAGUGAGCACUCUGACUCAUGGCAUGGGCCGAGGGCAGGGCUGCCCUGGGCUCGGCUGCUGCCAGGGAGGUGAGUCCAGAGGGAGAGCAUGGGAGGUACUGUUGACUGUUUCUGGGAUGGGGGCUGACAUGGCUUGGGGACACCUCUGGACGUCCAGAGGGCUGGUCUGCAUCUGGGCAGGAUGCCUCCCUGCUGUCAUGGAGUGAGCUGCCUUGAGGGGUAAAGGCAGCUGGAACCUCUGGGUAAGAAUCACUUCCCCAGACUAGGGAGACCGAAUGCUUGAAACGGGAGGAAGGAUGGACAAGGAGGAAGUGGGGCCCUGGUCUCAGCCCCUCAACUGGGCAUGGCCACAGGCGAGUUCCUCUGGAGCCACAGUGCACUCAUUUUCAGAGGAGAGGUAUUCUGAGCAUUCCUGGUGCCACUGCUGGCGCCCCAGGUGCAGGCCACCAGGUUCCCCUCUUCAGCAGGACACCUGCCUCGAUGGCUGAUAGCCAGGCUCAGGUUACUGACCUUCUUGAGGUUUUGGCAGGCUGCCCUGUGGCAGGAAUGCUCUCCAGAAAUGGAAACCACCUAGCAACCCCAGUGCUGGGCAGCAAUGAACCCACAUGGAGCAUUGCUUAUGUUGUGUUAGAGGUAAACCCCAUAAAUGCAGACACUUCAUAAAACAAAAAAACCAAACCGUGCCACAGCCUGGGAAAUGCACAGGUAAUGGAAAGUGGAAUCUCCUUCAUAUGAACAGAGUCCAAAGGGAGAUGUUGGACUUUAGAAAAUAGGGUGUCUGUGAUUUCACCGACGGGAACAAACGGUGGUAGGGAUGAGGGUGGGGCUGGAUAGGGUGGCUCAGGGGAACCUAAGCCAGCUGUCAGGUCUGUACUGACAGGGAUCAAGGAGUCAGAAGAGCAGGAUUUACAUCCAGGCUUCAUCCCUGCCAGGCCGGAGGGUUUGUGAGUCACUUACCAUCUUAAGAGUCAGGAGUGGGACUCCUUACCUACCUGUUACCUGCUCAGUCUACUCCCUGCCCUACCUGCCAC